rnacentral:tRNA from 1 species
CGCGGGGUGGAGCAGUUCGGUAGCUCGUCGGGCUCAUAACCCGAAGGUCGCAGGUUCAAAUCCUGCACCCGCAACCA